CUUGCUGGUUUACUUGCAGAGAAAGUAAAGAGUACUCAGAUUAAGAAGACAGCAUUUGCUUCUACAACCUUGCCACAGCCUGACAUCAAGUUUCAGGCCAAGUUGAGGGUUUUCUUUUCUUUAUUUUUUUUAAGUUUAUUUAUUUAUUUUCAAAGAGAGAGAGAGAGAGAGCCAGUGCAAGAGCAGGAGAGGGGCAGAGAGAGAAGGAGAGAAAAUCCCAAGCAGGCUCCAUGCUGUCAGUGCAGAGCCUGAUGAGGGCUCCAUCCCCAGAACCACAAGAUCAUGACCUGAGCCAAAAUUGAGAGUCAGGCGCUUAACUUACGAAGCCACUCAGACGCCCCCAAGUUGAGGGUUUUCUAACAAAAAUAUUCUCAGUCUUUGUGGAUAACCAGAUCCAUUAGAGAAUCUGUAGUACUUAUAGUCUGUGUAAGAAUUCAAAAGCAUGGAAUGGAGACAUUUACAAGUAUGGUUGACCAUUACAGGUCCUGUGGUGUGAAAACCCACAUGAAACCAGAUGAACGUUAGGUAAAUAUUCUUUCUUAGAGGUUCAGCUGUAUAAACUAAAACUAGGAAUGAUGAAGAAGAAGAAAGGAAGAAGGAAUCCAUGUUCCUUAGUGGACACAGAAGUGAAGAGCAGCCAGCUAAAUUAACCUGGAUUGAUGAAUGAUAAUUAAAGAAUUAUCAAUUGAAGAUACAUUUUUAUGCCAUUUUUCAAGAUUAUACUGGAUGACUAUUGUGAAACACCAAAGAAAACACUCCAGGAAUUCUGAAACAAACAAACAAAAUGCGCAGAUCUGCGUUUCUGAUACUACAGCAGCCUAGAAUGUACCUUCAAUUUCAAGGACCUCAUCUGUCUUGUUCACUAUUAUGUAUCCAGCCCCUAGAACAUUCUCUAAAUCCAGAAGGCACUUAAUAAACAUUUAUUGAUCAAAUGAAUAGAAAAUAAA
rnacentral:lncRNA from 1 species